ACUUGCUUACACUUCACUGCCCAGGAGCAAAUGCUUCAUGUCAUAAUCCCCUGUGGACUGAAUCCGAAUGAGUUUCUCACCAUUCAAGAGGAAAAGCCAGAGAGAACCAACAAUAGUAACACAGGGUAGCAUUUUCAAGAUGCAGAUGACUCCAAAAUUGGCACAUUCGUAUCCUGAAGUUACCUGCAGGAAAAGUAGAUAGUUUCUGGAAUGUUUAUGCCUCUACUUAUAGUGAGCCUUUCAACUUAGACUGAAUUACAUCACCAGCUUCCCUGGUUCUCCUGCUUGCAGAUGGCAGAUUCUUGGCUUCAUAAUCCUGUCUUUCUCCAGAAUUCAGACAACUCUGAAAACCCAAGUCUGUUGCUAGAAGAUAUCUUACUCUAAGAACACACUUUAUUUCAGACAGUGGGAGGUGAAAGACAGAUGAUGGAUAGUAGACUGAGAUGAAAAAAAAAAAAAAAACCCAGACUGGCAGAAAGAAGUUCCUCAGAAAAGAAAGAACAAGGAAUAUGGUUAAUGUUUGGUGGCUGUUGCAACAGAGCUAACAAAUUAGAUUGAUAUUAUCAAAUACUGUUGGUCGUGUGAGACAAUGGAUACCUUCAUAUACACUUUUUGGGAAUUUAACAUGGUGAAGAGUUUUUAAAACUGCAAACAGAUUCUACUAGCAAAACUGGUCUCACUCUGUCACCCAGUCUGAAGUAUAUGAUCGUG